CAGGAUUCCCUCAGUAGCGGCGAGCGAACAGGGAACAGCCCAGCACCGAAUCCCGCGGCCGCCAAGGACGCCGGGAAAUGUGGUGUUCGGGAGGAUCCGCGAUCCCGAGGUCGUUCGGCCAGUCCAAGUCCUUCUUGAACGGGGCCAUUUACCCGCAGAGGGUGCCAGGCCCGUAGAGACGGCCGACGUCAGCGGGAGGGUCCGUCCCUAGAGUCGGGUUGCUUGAGAGUGCAGCCCUAAGCGGGUGGUAAACUCCAUCUAAGGCUAAAUAUCACCACGAGACCGAUAGCGAACAAGUACCGUGAGGGAAAGUUGAAAAGAACUUUGAAGAGAGAGUUCAAUAGUACGUGAAACCGUCCAGGGGUAAACCCGAGAAGCCCGAAAGUUCGAUGGGGGAGAUUCAACCGCGUCUCGGCAAUGCGCACGAGCCGCGUCGAUGCGACGGCCCGUCCUUCGGGACGGGACGCGCCCGGCGUCCGUGCGCACGUCGAACGCGUGCACUUCUCCCCCCGUAGGACGUCGCGACCCGUCGGCGGCGGGUCUGAGGGCCGCGGUGGAGCCCGGCGGGAACGACACCCGUCGUMUCCGCCGGACCCGCGAGUCCCGACCCGCCAAGCCCGACGGUAGACUCGAGGCGAGGGGCCGCCGCUUUUGGCGUCCGGCCCGUCGCGAGCGCGGACGGUCGUCCGCCGGUCGGACCUGGUGCCGACCGCGGGCCCGUCUCGCUGCCGGCGACGGUAGCCUCGGACAGACCCCGAAUCGCCGGUCGGCGACGCUUUAGCUUUGGGCACUUUCGGGACCCGUCUUGAAACACGGACCAAGGAGUCUAGCAUGUGCGCGAGUCAUUGGGAGACUCUAAACCUAAAGGCGCAAUGAAAGUGAAGGUCCGCCUAGCGCGGACCGAGAGAGGAUGGGCGUCGGUCCUAGGACCGCGCCCCGCACUCCCGGGGCGUCUCGUGCUCAUCGCGAGCUGAGGCGCACCAGGAGCGUACACGCUGGGACCCGAAAGAUGGUGAACUAUGCCUGGUCAGGACGAAGUCAGGGGAAACCCUGAUGGAGGUCCGUAGCGAUUCUGACGUGCAAAUCGAUCGUCGGAACUGGGUAUAGGGGCGAAAGACUAAUCGAACCGUCUAGUAGCUGGUUCCCUCCGAAGUUUCCCUCAGGAUAGCUGGCGCUCGCUUUGCGAGUCUCAUCCGGUAAAGCGAAUGAUUAGAGGCAUUGGGGUCGAAACGGCCUCAACCUAUUCUCAAACUUUAAAUGGGUGAGAUCUCCGGCUUGCUCGAUUGAAGCCGCGAGAUUCGGAUCAGAG
rnacentral:rRNA from 1 species